rnacentral:rRNA from 1 species
AGAGUUUGAUCCUGGCUCAGAGCGAACGCUGGCGGCAGGCUUAACACAUGCAAGUCGAACGGGCUUCUUCGGAAGUCAGUGGCAGACGGGUGAGUAACACGUGGGAACGUGCCCUUCGGUUCGGAAUAACUCAGGGAAACUUGAGCUAAUACCGGAUACGCCCUUAUGGGGAAAGGUUUACUGCCGAAGGAUCGGCCCGCGUCUGAUUAGCUUGUUGGUGGGGUAACGGCCUACCAAGGCGACGAUCAGUAGCUGGUCUGAGAGGAUGAUCAGCCACACUGGGACUGAGACACGGCCCAGACUCCUACGGGAGGCAGCAGUGGGGAAUAUUGGACAAUGGGCGCAAGCCUGAUCCAGCCAUGCCGCGUGAGUGAUGAAGGCCUUAGGGUUGUAAAGCUCUUUUGUCCGGGACGAUAAUGACGGUACCGGAAGAAUAAGCCCCGGCUAACUUCGUGCCAGCAGCCGCGGUAAUACGAAGGGGGCUAGCGUUGCUCGGAAUCACUGGGCGUAAAGGGCGCGUAGGCGGCCGAUUAAGUCGGGGGUGAAAGCCUGUGGCUCAACCACAGAAUUGCCUUCGAUACUGGUUGGCUUGAGACCGGAAGAGGACAGCGGAACUGCGAGUGUAGAGGUGAAAUUCGUAGAUAUUCGCAAGAACACCAGUGGCGAAGGCGGCUGUCUGGUCCGGUUCUGACGCUGAGGCGCGAAAGCGUGGGGAACAAACAGGAUUAGAUACCCUGGUAGUCC